UACAGAGGGGGCAAGCGUUGUUCGGAAUUACUGGGCGUAAAGGGCGCGUAGGCGGCCUUCUAAGUCGAACGUGAAAUCCCCGGGCUCAACCCGGGAACUGCGUCCGAUACUGGAAGGCUUGAAUUCGGGAGAGGGAUGCGGAAUUCCAGGUGUAGCGGUGAAAUGCGUAGAUAUCUGGAGGAACACCGGUGGCGAAGGCGGCUUGCUGGGCCUUACCUGACGCUGAGGAGCGAAAGCGUGGGGAGCGAACAGG
rnacentral:rRNA from 1 species